GUUUUAAUAGUUUAAAUUAAAAAUAAUGAUCUUGUAAAUCAUAGAUAGAAGUUUCUUUAAAGCU
rnacentral:tRNA from 1 species